GUUGAGUAACAGUUACAGGGUGGCAAUCAAUUGACCUGAUAAUCAGAAGCAUGGCGGCUGAGAAUGGAGAAAUUGAGGUGAAGGAAAUGACGAAGAAGCAGAAGCACAAGGGAAAACAUGACAAACCGAAGCCGUGGGACGAGGACCCAAACAUCGAUCAUUGGAAGAUUGAAAAAUUCGAUUCCUCUUGGAAUGAAAGCGGCAUGCUAGAAGCCAGUUCGUUCUCUACCCUUUUCCCUCAGUACAGAGAAAAAUACUUG
rnacentral:misc_RNA from 1 species